rnacentral:rRNA from 1 species
UUCUGACCUCGAAUCAGGUGGGACUACCCGCUGAACUUAAGCAUAUCAAUAAGCGGAGGAAAAGAAACUAACAAGGAUUCCCUUAGUAACUGCGAGUGAAGUGGGAUGAGCUCAAAUUUAAAAUCUGGUAGUCUCUGGCUGCCCGAGUUGUAAUCUAGAGAAGUGUUUUCUGUGCUGGACUGUGU